UUCUCAUAUUACUGAUUCGCGAAGAAGCUUAAAAAAGAAUAUUUAUUUCUAGACAUAGAGAAGAAAGAAGAAUGUCUAUAUCUAUUACACAUUGUUACCAAGAAUUUUGAUUUAGCAUCAAGUGAAGUAAUACAUAUUCCUAGACAUUUCGUGCAACGCCAUCUAGUCGCCAAAUUAGUAACGUGCUUUGAAAAAAGACACUCAAACUCAAACUCAAACAUUCAUUUAUUCAAUUAGACUACUAUUUAGUAGCACUUUCGAAUCGUCAUUACAUAGAAUAUGCUGUGAAUUCAGCGGCGAUGUGGAUAAUGAACAAACAAGUGAAUUUAAUUAUUACAUGCUCAUCGAAUGCAAAUAUGUUUAGUUUCUUAUAGUUAUGUAUUAUUUAUUAAUAAGUAUUUUCUAAGUACAUUUAUAAAAAUACAUGCUAACCAUUGCCUAUUUGCGUUAGUGCAAGAUUCUACCAGUUUGUUUUAUAUAAUACAC